ACCGUGGGUACUACGUCACUGUAUUGUUGCUGAAGCAGGAGCAGUAUGCCACAUCCUCAUUUACCCAUCUCAAGGUUCAAUCUUCUCACAAUCUGCUACCUCUUUGUUCCUUGGACCCGUGACUUGGAUUUGACAGACUAGUUAACAAACCAGAUUAUGUGUCUGCAACGGAUCAAGCUUAACCUCUAUUAGAAAUUUCUAAAUUCAUCCACCAGUUUCAAUAUUUUUUUUAUAAUGUAAUUUUAGGGUUAAUUUUACGGUAAUGUCAUCACCGUCAAGAGGCAGGAGUGGAUCUACUACUACAUUACAUACAUAUUUCAUAUGAAUACAAGUGUCUUAGCUGUGUAAGAGAGUAUAGAAGGUAUGUGCUGUUAAUGCCCUGUAAACCAGUAACUGCUUAUGCAUCAGCUGCUAAUCCUUGACAGCAUAAGGAAAGAAUAAGGGCAGCCAUGUGCACAUUAGUGAUGUCCUAUGAGGAUCCCCUUGGUGCUACCACAAGCAGCAGGAAGAAUUUGGUGGGGACAGACGAUAGUGACCUAUCAAGCACUUUAUGUGAAAUUCCAGAGAACAAAGAAGAGAGCAAGGCUACAGAUUCUGAUGCAGAAGAGGAGAGAAAACAGUCUGUGGAACUGUAUUCCCAGGUGGAGACACAGCCAACCCUUGAAACAAACACAGAGGAGCAGCACAACCAGCUCAACGCCAACAACUGGUGCAUAGCUGUUGUUACUAUAAUCCUCUGUUUCCUGUUUUUCCUCUACUACUGCUUUUAAACUGAAGUCAACUGUUACCUCUACAUCAUGGUAACCAACGGGUAGCUUUCCAUCUGUUAAGAAAUUUGAAAAUGUCGGUGAUGCUCAGCUAUUCACAGGUCAGAAAAGUACCAUGGACGUUGAAUUGCCACAACAGCUGCUGAGCGUCUUUGCUGGCGUCCCCUGCUCUACACAGAAUCAGAGCAUGCCAUAAUGUCUCCUUAACAGAAAAUGCAAAGUUUCAUAACGCAGUACAAUUGUGCUUAAAAGAUGGUCUGUCUAGUUUUCAUAAAUGAAAAGCAUUUUUUUUUCACUAAUGGUAUAUCAAAGCGCACCUUUAAAUUAUCAGUAGGUGGUCUUAUCUCUGGACAUCACACAAGAUAGAAGUAAAAUAUAUUUUUACCAACUCCAGGCCAUUCCUCUUGUACCUUGCCACAACUGUCCAAAAAACUAAAUCCUUAUCUUCCAGCUGCUUCUUGGUAGAUGUCGUUUGGUUGCCCAGAAUUAAUAAUAUUAAAGGUGCUGAGAGAGGUGUUCAUUAUACCAGAAAAAAAACAACUACCACCCAUUUACAGUAGCUCACAAAACCAAUGUUGCAUAAUGCUUCUUCUCAAUGUCUCAAUUAUCAAGUAUAUCAUAAUUUUACUAAUUGCACUUUAAGUAGAAAAUACUAGUUGUUGGUAGAAGGAUAGGUGGUACUAAACAGGGAUCUAUUAUAAAGCACAAAUGGUAUUAAUAUGAGAUAAUCAUAUAUGAUGUCAAUGCUACUUGGCGUCCACAUGUACUUUAAAUAUGUUGGAAAAUGUAAGCAGGCCAAAUGUGAAAUCAUCACGUACCCAAACUUUUAAAUGUAAUAUCUAGACACUAAUGUAGCAAAUUAUUUUUUAUUUUUAAAUAUUGAGUGGUUUGAUGACUCAUAAGUAGGCUGUAGUCCGCUGAUUAGAACUCAAGGUGUAGAGUUAAUGAGCUGCCAGAUGCCUUGGGUUUCAUGGCUAAGCCAAUAGUUACGGCCAUAUUAAUGAUUAUAACAUAUCACAUUCCACAUUGGCCAAAGUACUCAGUGACUCUACCUAGGCACUUAUUAUAUCACAAAUAAUAUUAAAAAUGAAGGCACUAAUUUUUAUUGGAUAUAAUUUUAGAAACAUCUAGAAUCUGCCAGUUAAUUUUCUGUUUCCUAAAAUGGACCUGUUAUUGCACCAGCUCCUAAAUCUUAUUUAUUAGCUUACUCAGAAAACCAAGUGUAUAUACUGAUGAGCAUAGACGGUAACCAUAUAUCAGAGAAAUCAAUCUCAUCUGUAUGGAGUCUGGUUAUUUAUAAUAACUAGUCAAUCAAAUGAAUCACUGGACGCCAAAAGUAAACUACCCAUCAGUAAACUUAAUGAAAAAAUAUAUAAAUGUUGGAGGAUUUAUCUUUUGCCAUAUUUUGCCAUAAUUCUGCACUUAUAACUUUGUCUAAUUUUACCACAUAAACGUUCUGGUAUUGCCUUUACAAGUUAUCCAUGACAAUUCUACAUAAAACUCAAAUGUAACAGUGUCACUUUAAGUAUAGCUAAUAAUAAGUAUUGUAUAAGGAAAUGUAUUAUUGCUUAUGAUUUUUUUUAAAUGUUUUCUUUUGUUUCUAACAUUAUAGCUACCUUAACACCUAUGCUCAUUGCAUAGAAUAUUUUGUGGGGAGCACCUUGCCAUUGUACCCCUUGAUCCAAUUCAUAGGUGGAACAAUUUACAAAAGAGCCAGCUAGCUGCCCAGCUCACUAUUUGAAUGUACAAGAUCUUCUACGUCAUGUGUAUACAUAUGAUGUAAAAGUCCUAAGUAAUGGACUCUGGUAUAGCUUUCUAAGGCAGGUGCUUUUAUUAGUUUGCCAGGUAGUUCCAUCAAUAAAUAAAGCCAUUUGCUACUGGAAUACCUGAACUACUCACAACAUAAUGAUUUCUUGAAAUCUGAUGGGACAAAAUAAUUGUAUUUUAAGUGUUACAAAUAUAAUAUAUCUUCCAGUAUCUUCCUAAUUUUACUUAGCACUUUAGCCAAGAAGUCCUGAAUUGUUAGGAUUUCAUGUUUUGGUCCAAUAUAGAUGAUCUGGAAUAUUUCCCUAAGUCAGCAUUGUUUUAAUUUCUUAAUUUUGACCUAAAAUUUUAAAUUCCCCUUGAAUUCUCAAAAUCUCAAAAUGUAACAGGUAAAGAGGAUUCUAAAAUUCUUAUUGAUAUAUGGAUGUUCUUCCCUAUAUUUUUACAGGUAUGCCAAAACAGUGUUUGCUGAAACAAUUCCAGACAGUUCUGGCUCACAUUUAAAACUGGCUUCAAGGCAAAUUAUAAAUGUAACCCUGGUAACUGAAUAGUAGUUUCAUAUCAUAUAAUAUCAUUGGAUAUUGUAUUAACUUGCCAGAUAACGGUUUAUCUGUUAUAAUAAUUUAGCCUUU